rnacentral:rRNA from 1 species
UAGGGAAUCUUCGGCAAUGGACGAAAGUCUGACCGAGCAACGCCGCGUGAGUGAAGAAGGUUUUCGGAUCGUAAAACUCUGUUGUUAGAGAAGAACAAGGACGUUAGUAACUGAACGUCCCCUGACGGUAUCUAACCAGAAAGCCACGGCUAACUACGUGCCAGCAGCCGCGGUAAUACGUAGGUGGCAAGCGUUAUCCGGAUUUAUUGGGCGUAAAGCGAGCGCAGGCGGUUUCUUAAGUCUGAUGUGAAAGCCCCCGGCUCAACCGGGGAGGGUCAUUGGAAACUGGGGGACUUGAGUGCAGAAGAGGAGAGUGGAAUUCCAUGUGUAGCGGUGAAAUGCGUAGAUAUAUGGAGGAACACCAGUGGCGAAGGCGGCUCUCUGGUCUGUAACUGACGCUGAGGCUCGAAAGCGUGGGGAGCAAACAGG